rnacentral:rRNA from 1 species
CGGGAAACUKRAGGAAUAUCCUWUAGAAACGAUGCUGAUGCCGGUAUCCCAAGCUCGGCGCUUAGGAUGGAUCUGCGGCGAUUAGGUCGUUGUUGGGGUAACGGCCAACAAGCCGAWAAUCGGUACGGGUUGUGGGAGGCAAGAGCCCGRAGUUGGAUUCUGAGACACGAAUCCAGGCCCUACGGGGCGCAGCAGGCGCGAAAACUUUACAAUGCGGGCAACCGUGAUAAGGGAACCUCGAGUGCCUGUACAUGCAGGCUGUCUGGGUGUCUAAAACACACCCAAAGAAAGGGCCGGGCAAGACCGGUGCCAGCCGCCGCGGUAAUACCGGCGGCUCGAGUGGUGGCCACUUUUAUUGGGCUUAAAGCGUUCGUAGCUGGGUUGUUAAGUCUCUUGGGAAAUCUGGCAGCUUAACUGUCAGGCGUCUAAGAGAUACUGGCAAUCUAGGAACCGGGAGAGGWGAGGGGUACUUCGGGGGUAGGAGUGAAAAAACUGUAAUCMWCGAGGGACCACCUGUGGCGAAGGCGCCUCACCAGAACGGCUUCGACAGUGAGGGACGAAAGCUGGGGGAGCAAACCGGAUUAGAUACCCGGGUAGUCCCAGCCGUAAACGAUGCGCGUUAGGUGUGUCGAUGACCACGAGUCAUCGAGGUGCMGAAGGGAAACCGUGAAACGCGCCGCCUGGGAAGUACGGUCGCAAGGCUGAAACUUAAAGGAAUUGGCGGGGGAG